GUGCCAGCAGCCGCGGUAAUACGUAGGUGGCAAGCGUUGUCCGGAUUUAUUGGGCGUAAAGCGAGCGCAGGCGGUUUCUUAAGUCUGAUGUGAAAGCCCCCGGCUCAACCGGGGAGGGUCAUUGGAAACUGGGAGACUUGAGUGCAGAAGAGGAGAGUGGAAUUCCAUGUGUAGCGGUGAAAUGCGUAGAUAUAUGGAGGAACACCAGUGGCGAAGGCGGCUGUCUGGUCUGUAACUGACGCUGAGGCUCGAAAGCGUGGGGAGCAAACAGGAUUAGAUACCCUGGUAGUCC
rnacentral:rRNA from 1 species